rnacentral:rRNA from 1 species
GAUGAACGCUGGCGGCGUGCCUAAUACAUGCAAGUCGAGCGAACAGACGAGGCGCUUGCUCCUCUGACGUUAGCGGCGGACGGGUGUGUAACACGUGGAUCACCUCCCUAUCAUACUGGUAUCACUUCGGGAAACCGGCGCUUAUACCGGAUAAUAUAUUGAACCGCAUGGUUCGAUAGAGAAUGACGGUGUUGCUGUCUCUUCUAGAUGGAUCCGCGCUGCAUUAGCUAGUUGGUACGGUAACGGCUACUAAGGCAACGAUGCGUAGACGACCUGAGAGGGUGGUCGGCGACACGGGAACUGGGACGCGGUCCAGACGCCUACGGGAGGCAGCAGUAGGGAAUGGGCGGCAGUGGGCGAAAGCUUGACGGAACAACGCCGCGUGAGUGAUGAAGGUGUUCGGAUCGUAAUGCUCUGUUAUUAGGGAAGAACAAAUGUGGAAGUUACUAUGCACGGCGUGACGGUACCUAAUCAGAAAGCAACGGCUAACUACGUG